UACGUAGGGUGCGAGCGUUUAAUCGGAAUUACUGGGCGUAAAGCGUGCGCAGGCGGUAAUGUAAGACAGAUGUGAAAUCCCCGGGCUCAACCUGGGACCUGCAUUUGUGACUGCAUUGCUGGAGUGCGGCAGAGGGGGAUGGAAUUCCGCGUGUAGCAGUGAAAUGCGUAGAUAUGCGGAGGAACACCGAUGGCGAAGGCAGCCAUCUGGACCGACACUGACGCUGAGGCGCGAAAGCGUGGGGAGCAAACAGG
rnacentral:rRNA from 1 species